rnacentral:rRNA from 1 species
UCCAUGUCGGCGACCGGCGCACAGGUGCGUAACGCGUAUGCAACCUACCCAUUACAGGGGGAUAACACUGAGAAAUCGGUACUAAUACCCCAUAACAUCCAGGGAGGCAUCUUCUUGGGUUGAAAACUCCGGUGGUAAUGGAUGGGCAUGCGUUGUAUUAGUUAGUUGGUGGGGUAACGGCUCACCAAGACAACGAUACAUAGGGGGACUGAGAGGUUAACCCCCCACAUUGGUACUGAGACACGGACCAAACUCCUACGGGAGGCAGCAG